rnacentral:lncRNA from 1 species
GAGAGAAUGGGAGGCCGGAGAGGGGAGGGAGUCAGGCAGGAAGCAGGCAGCGUUAGAGAGUCCUAGCAUGGGAAUGGGACUCUGAGACAGCUGCGGAGGUUCCCUGGCCUCCAUGGAGGCACCUCCCCUCUUCUCUGCUCCUCACAGACAGCUUCCAGGAGAUUUUAGGAAUUACUCUGUUCUUAAAUGGGAGAAGCGCUAAUGCCCAAAUGCUGAGAAGGAGUAAAGCGGAGAAAACAGAGAAAAACAGUCACAAAUAGAGAGAAGUAGGCAGGAAAGGCGGGAAAGGGAACUGUCGAUAAAAGAGAGGCAAGCAGGAUGAGAAUGAGAGAAGGAAAGGGGGCUGGGGAGAGGGCCAGGACUGUCACAUCCAGCAGGGGCUCUCCCUGAGUGCCCCACACUCACCCUACUACCUUCUGUGCACAUGGAGGAUGGAGGCAACCUGAAGGUGAUCUCGCCCAUCUCAAGUUUGAGUUAGUAAGGUUCAUGGAUGAAGAGUCUGAUCUAGAAACCCUCCAAGGACCCCUGCGUCUGUGACCAAAGCUGCUGUCAAUCCUGAGGCCAGAUAUAACAAGAUGAGAGAUGCAGGGUGUUUGUACUUGGUCUUGGCUUAAGUGUCCCAAGUCCCUGGUGUUUGCCAUUCUUUGUGACUGAGUAUCUCCGAGUCUUGAUAUAUCUCAGAAAGGGAUCUUUCUAAAUCAGUUUUAC